GCUCCUGAUCCCGAUAGCAGCAUCAGCCGGCGGGUCUCGCUCCAGUUUUUGCAUCCAUUCCAUCUCCUUCCUGGGGCUCAGAAUCAGAGGACUCCCUUCCUUCUGCCUCUUUAUACAUUACCCUCUUGCGGCACAGGGCCCACACUCCUUGACGAUGCUAAUAUCUGAGGAUGUAGCUGUGUAUCUCUCCCAGGAGUAAUGGCAACAACGGAUCGCUAUUUAAAGAGAACUCUACAGGGAUGUUAUGCAGGAGAAUUAGUAAAACCUGCUGUGUUUGGGUGAGGUGGUAUCUUCCUCUGACUUCAUCACUCAGAUGGAGAAAGGCAAAGGAACAUGGAAUUGGGAAGGUGCCAAGAAACCAAAAGAUCCCAAGGGACUGCCCAGCUGGAACAGAACAUGGGAGACCAGCUGAAGACUGGAGAAAAAUGAGAAGGGUUAUCAGCUGAAAUGUCUCAUGUAUGAGUACUCUCAAGGGAUGUGCACAGGAAGGUCUUAAGAGGAGAAGAAAGUUCCUGGAUUUUUGGAAGAACCCAUGUGAGUCAGUGCAUUUCAGAAAAGCAGCAGGGGAGUCUUAGGGAACAGGCAGAAAAGAUCCAUUCCCAAGAUAAGGGAUCUGGGGAACCUCAUUUUAAUCGACCCUAAAACUAGACCAAGUUUUGAG
rnacentral:lncRNA from 1 species